rnacentral:tRNA from 1 species
CGCGGAGUAGAGCAGUGGUAGCUCGUCAGGCCCAUAACCUGAAGGUCGGUGGUUCGAUCCCAUCCUCCGCAA